rnacentral:rRNA from 1 species
AUGGUAGGAUAGAGGCCUACCAUGGUGGUAACGGGUAACGGGGUGUUAGGGCACGACACCGGAGAGGGAGCCUGAGAAACGGCUACCACAUCCAAGGAAGGCAGCAGGCGCGCAAAUUACCCAAUCCCGACACGGGGAGGUAGUGACAAUAAAUAACAAUACAGGGUUCUUUGAAUCUUGUAAUUGGAAUGAGUACAAUUUAAAUCUCUUAACGAGGAACAAUUGGAGGGCAAGUCUGGUGCCAGCAGCCGCGGUAAUUCCAGCUCCAAUAGCGUAUAUUAAAGUUGUUGCAGUUAAAAAGCUCGUAGUUGAAUUUCGGGAUCAAUACGUCGGUCGUGCUUUCGGGUACGUACUGGCGUCAUUGGUUUCUCCUUUCUGACGAACCAUGAUGUCAUUAAUUUGGUGUUAUGGGGAGUUAGGACUGUUACUUUGAAAAAAUUAGAGUGUUUAAAGCAGGCAUUAGCUUGAAUACAUUAGCAUGGAAUAAUGAAAUAGGACGUUCGAUCCUAUUUUGUUGGUUUCUAGGAUCAACGUAAUGAUUAAUAGGGAUAGUUGGGGGCAUUAGUAUUCAAUUGUCAGAGGUGAAAUUCUUGGAUUUAUUGAAGACUAACUACUGCGAAAGCAUUUGCCAAGGAUGUUUUCAUUAAUCAAGAACGAAGGUUAGGGGAUCGAAGACGAUCAGAUACCGUCGUAGUCUUAACCAUAAACUAUGCCGACUAGGGAUCGGAUGAUGCUAAUUUUUUAAUGACUCAUUCGGCGCCUUACGGGAAACCAAAGUGUUUGGG